rnacentral:rRNA from 1 species
AGCGAACGCUGGCGGCAGGCUUAACACAUGCAAGUCGAACGGGCACUUCGGUGCUAGUGGCAGACGGGUGAGUAACGCGUGGGAACGUACCUUUCGGUUCGGAAUAAUUCAGGGAAACUUGGACUAAUACCGGAUACGCCCUUCGGGGGAAAGAUUUAUCGCCGAUAGCUCGGCCCGCGUCUGAUUAGCUAGUUGGUGAGGUAAUGGCUCACCAAGGCGACGAUCAGUAGCUGGUCUGAGAGGAUGAUCAGCCACAUUGGGACUGAGACACGGCCCAAACUCCUACGGGAGGCAGCAGUGGGGAAUAUUGGACAAUGGGCGCAAGCCUGAUCCAGCCAUGCCGCGUGAGUGAUGAAGGCCUUAGGGUUGUAAAGCUCUUUUGUCCGGGAAGAUAAUGACUGUACCGGAAGAAUAAGCCCCGGCUAACUUCGUGCCAGCCGCCGCCGUAACAC